rnacentral:rRNA from 1 species
CAUCAUUUAAAGAAAGCGUAAUAGCUCACUGGUCGAGUCGGCCUGCGCGGAAGAUGUAACGGGGCUAAACCAUGCACCGAAGCUGCGGCAGCGACGCUUAUGCGUUGUUGGGUAGGGGAGCGUUCUGUAAGCCUGUGAAGGUGUGCUGUGAGGCAUGCUGGAGGUAUCAGAAGUGCGAAUGCUGACAUAAGUAACGAUAAAGCGGGUGAAAAGCCCGCUCGCCGGAAGACC